rnacentral:rRNA from 1 species
CCUACGGGAGGCAGCAGUGGGGAAUAUUGGACAAUGGGCGCAAGCCUGAUCCAGCAACGCCGCGUGGAUGAAGAAGGCCUUCGGGUUGUAAAGUCCUUUCGGCAGGGACGAUGAUGACGGUACCUGCAGAAGAAGCCCCGGCUAACUUCGUGCCAGCAGCCGCGGUAAU